UACGGAGGGUGCAAGCGUUAUCCGGAUUCACUGGGUUUAAAGGGUGCGUAGGCGGGUAGGUAAGUCCGUGGUGAAAUCUCUGAGCUUAACUCAGAAACUGCCGUGGAUACUAUUUGCCUUGGAUAUUGUGGAGGUGAGCGGAAUAUGUCAUGUAGCGGUGAAAUGCUUAGAUAUGACAUAGAACACCAAUUGCGAAGGCAGCUCACUACACAAUGAUUGACGCUGAGGCACGAAAGCGUGGGGAUCAAACAGG
rnacentral:rRNA from 1 species